rnacentral:lncRNA from 1 species
GGGGGGGCGCGUAUGGGGGGGUGGGUUCGGCCGGGAGGUUGUGGUCGGGGAGCUCGGCACGGCUGGGGUUGCAGGGCUCCCCUGGGCUGCAGGACGCUCAGCUCUGGCUGGGGGAGGAUUUGGGGGAUGCAGGAACCGGGGCCAAGGGGGAUUUGGGGUCCGGGAGGGUGCAUGGGGCCGGGUUUUGUCCCCCAGUCAGCAGGGUGCUGUGGCAGGUGGGCUGGACACGCACCAACCUGGCGAAGAAGCUGCUGGAGAAGGCGAGUGGGGUGACGCUGGUGCUGAAGAAGGUCCCCCUCAGCCCACCUGGCUCCCCUUUAUCUCCCCGGCAGCAGGUGCCAGGAGCCUUUUCGGAUGCUGCGGAUCCCCCCGGUGCCAAAAGCAGCGAGUGCCCCGGCAGCCCCGUGUCCCUGACGUCCAGCGCGGCCGCCGACGUGGAUUCGGGGCCGGACUCUGCACCGGACCCCGGCACCGACGACGAGGACGAGUGUGACACGAGCCUGCCCGGGGAGGACGUGGGCGAGCUCCCCCCGGCACCGCUCGGUGCUGCGGAGGACGCGGCGUGGGAGGCCAGCACCCCGCCGGGCACCCCGUGCUCGCCACGCGCCCCCGCCGGACCCCGCACGGCGGAGCUCAGCCCCUUGGCAGCCCCCGGGGCUGGGGCUCAGGGCGCAGAGCCCGACCGGAUCCCUGGGGAGGUGAGAGCUGGUGGGAGCAGCAGCAGGGGAAAAGGGUUUUUUUAUGUCCUGCUUGUCCCCAGUGGGGACAGCCUGCCGGGCUUGCUGCUGCAGGGUGGGUGA